rnacentral:rRNA from 1 species
UACAGAGGGGGCAAGCGUUGUUCGGAAUUACUGGGCGUAAAGGGCGCGUAGGCGGCCUGCUAAGUCGAACGUGAAAUCCCCGGGCUUAACCCGGGAACUGCGUCCGAUACUGGUGGGCUUGAAUCCGGGAGAGGGAUGUGGAAUUCCAGGUGUAGCGGUGAAAUGCGUAGAUAUCUGGAGGAACACCGGUGGCGAAGGCGGGACUCUGGGCCGAUACUGACGCUGAGGAGCGAAAGCGUGGGGAGCAAACAGG